UUUUUUUAGUUUGGUUUUUAUUUUGGUUUGGGGGUUUUGUUUUUGUCGUUGUUGGUUUUUUGGCUUUGUGUGUGUGUGUGGGGGUGGGUGGGUUUUUGUUUUGUUUUGUUUUUGUUUUCAUGAAUCACGAUAUUUUGUACUUUUAAAAGCUCCAACCUCCACAAAACAACUCAAGGCCUCCAAAUAUCAGGAUGUCCUGAAAAAAUUUUUUUAGCAGAAUCUGAAAUUUGAUUUUAUACGCUCCCUGAAAUGUAAUUUGCUAACAUUAUUAAAUUUGGGCCUCUUGUGAUAAUCACAUACAAUCUGCCUGCCUGCCUGCCUGCUUCUGAGUGUUUUCCCAGCAUCUCCAGGCCUCCUUAAGUCUGUCCCCCACCGUGCAUCUGCUUACCUCAUGCUGCUCUUUGUUUCAGAUUAUGAAAGCUCACAGGGGUGUUUGUUGGAAUCAUUUGCUGAGUCAUUUCCUCAAAUCAUAUUCCAUUGUGUCAGUUAACAUAGUUUUAAAUGUAUGUAUUAUAAAUAUCUGUAACCAAAAUCAUUUGAAGGCUUGAUAAAUUUUUAACAAAGUUUGUACAUUUUUUAUGAAAGUUACUAGUAAUGCUUUACUAAGUAGUGCAAUGAAUUUUUAUUUUUAAUCCCUGUGCCCAAUUUUGGAGUUGAGAGGGUUGUUGGUAAUAAAUGUAUGAUGUACACUUAAAACA
rnacentral:lncRNA from 1 species